CAGCCGCCGCGGUAAUACGUAGGUGGCAAGCGUUGUCCUGAAUCAUUGGGCGUAAAGCGCGCGCAGGCGGUCCUUUAAGUCUGAUGUGAAAUCUUGCGGCUCAACCGUAAGCGGUCAUUGGAAACUGGGGGACUUGAGUGCAGGAGAGGAAAGCGGAAUUCCAUGUGUAGCGGUGAAAUGCGUAGAGAUAUGGAGGAACACCAGUGGCGAAGGCGGCUUUCUGGCCUGUAACUGACGCUGAGGCGCGAAAGCGUGGGGAGCAAACAGGAUUAGAUCCCCUGGUAGUCCACGCCGUAAACGAUGAGUGCUAAGUGUUGGAGGGUUUCCGCUCUUCAGUGCUGCAGCUAACGCAUUAAGCACUCCGCCUGGGGAGUACGGUCGCAAGACUGAAACUUAAAGGAAUUGGCGGG
rnacentral:rRNA from 1 species